CUCAGGGGAGCUCAGGUGUAUGCAAUGCAUCUGAGUGACUGGAAGAGGUGGAACCAGGAUCCACCCCAUCCCAGACUUCAUUUAAGAGUUGGCAGAGGAGACAAGAGGAGCCCUCUGGUCCUUCUAUCUGAGGCUUUCUAAAGAUCAUGAAUAACACCUGAAUUACAGUCACCACCAAAGUAGAAGCUCAAAUUCACUAAGGAGCAAAGGGUGCUAGGCUUGCUGAUCUAGAAAAAAGGUCUGGGGAAAGAAAUAAGAGAUAGCUUACCACGAAUGUUAACCGUAGACAACCAUACUGAAGCAAGAUAAAUUGAAUCACCCUGGAAGUCAAAGAGCAUGUCUUUAUCUGCAAUUUGGAGAUGAAAUGAACCACACUUCUGGAGAAUGAUGAUGUUAAAAGUCUGAGUUUAAGGAUCUCUCAACUUGAUUGCUGUUCCACUUCCAAAGACAUAAAAAUCGUAAGCUCCUGAAAAUGGAUAUUCACAUACAAGAGUGGAGUUUUGUGUUGCUUUUCAGUUAGAUAAGUUGGUUCAUUGAGUUGCUCCACAACAGCUGUAAAAGUACAAAGAAGGGACUACUGGAGGAACAUAAAAACAUGUUUAACCAUGAUCACAUCAGCAGUGCUGUCAAAACACAGUCUGCUGCCUCAUGAGGAAUCAGACAAGUGCUUUGUCAAUUGUGCUUUAAAGCUAUUCUUUCCAAUGACGUGUACUGGAUUAUUCUGUACCAUUGUGCAAAACUGUCAAAUAACUGAAAGUGAAAAAUUCACCUGGAAACAAGUGUCACAGUACCAAUAAAAGAACAAUUAUUUAGCUCAGGUGCAAAGCCUUCUAAAAUACUAUGUGCCAAAUCUUCACUGCAGCUAAAUCCAAACUAUUUGCUGGUUCAAAAAUCAGCUGUUCUAAUUACUAAUCCAGAACUUCAGUAUCUGAUACAGUCAAUACACGCUAUCUGCUCAGAGAAAAUUUAAAAAAUGACAAACCUCACAUUGUAGAUUUCAUAAGGGCAUAAAUAGGAAUCAGUUACUUCAGUUUUUUGUUUUACUAAUGUUAGA